GGACUAUACAAGAGAGGGGAGGGAAAGAAAAGAAAAAAAAAACCACCGUCUUCUGUCCACCAUUUUAGAGAGAGAAAAGGAAUUCAUCAGCUGCUCUCCUAUCUGACAUCCAAAUGGAAAAGGCGAGAGACCAGACUGUUUCCUCACUGCAUUAGACGUGAGCGGAAGCAGAAUAGGAAGAGGGCAGGCAGCAGCCAACAAAAGGAGCAAACUCCACCCAUUUCUAUACUAAAGAUUGCAUUAAAAACAGGGAGAGAGAAUUGAAGCCAUGGAGGAAGAGGGAGAAAAGCCACCUUUUCCACAGAGAGAACAACAUAUCAAGUGUUUGCCAUACCAAGGGACCAUCCCCUCUGUCUCAGGUUCUUGGUGUCUUCCUCGUCUCAGUGGCCGUGCUACUCAUUUCUGCCAGCACAUUAAUGACAAAACUCGGUGCCUAACACUGGGAGUUUAGAUGCAACAAAAUAAGCUGGUCAGUGCCCCAGAGUUUAUGAGAAGGGACAAAGCAUCUUGACAGUACUACAGAACAGUUAAGUCUCAAGGAAAACAAGAAGAUUCUUUUAUAUUGUUUCUAUUUCAGCCUGGGCAGGGCUAGAUCACAGCAAGUCUUGACAACCCUCCUUGUUCAAACACAGGUCUAUUUGCUUUAAUUAAAAAGCUAGGGAAAGAGUUAAAACUAUGAAAUGCUUGACUGAGGAUGAAUUUAUGUCCUUGUUACUCUCAUCCUGGAUAUUUCUUCUAUUAAAUACUUCACAUGUAGACUGAGGAAUGGGUACUGAGGCCCUUAGUCCCUUCUUACCAUUUGGAGGACUGCUGUAACAGAAAAAGCAAUGUCCUAUGCUAAUACCUAACUAUGGGAACUCAGCAGGCAGCCUCUAAGCCACUAAUCUGAACAUAAUCCAGCUCUACCUUUGAGCAGCACCACAAAGGCAAAGCAGGGGUAUUCAUCCUCACUCAUACAUGUGCAUUUAUUUGAGUAUUAGCUGAGAAAUUAUAUAGGUUGGUAAGAUCACUGUUUCCUGAAUAGUAGCAAAUCCAUACAUACAAAGAUUGGGAGAUUGUUGUGCAAUUUGAUUUACUUUAUUGAGUAAUAGUCUGAUAGCUACAAUGGUGAAUCAGAAGAAAAGAAAAAAAAAACCUAAG